GUCCACGCCCUAAACGAUGUCAACUAGGUGUUGGAAGGGUUAAACCUUUUAGUGCCGUAGCUAACGCGUGAAGUUGACCGCCUGGGGAGUACGGCCGCAAGGCUAAAACUCAAAGGAAUUGACGGGGACCCGGCACAAGCGGUGGAUGAUGUGGAUUAAUUCGAUGCAACGCGAAAAACCUUAACCUACCCUUGACAUGUCAGGAAUCCCGGAGAGAUUUGGGAGUGCUCGAAAGAGAACCUGAACACAGGUGCUGCAUGGCUGUCGU
rnacentral:rRNA from 1 species